rnacentral:snRNA from 1 species
GUGCUCGCUUUGGCAGCACAUAUACUAAAAUUUGAAUGAUACAGAGAAGAUUAGCAUGGCCUCUGCACAAGGAUGACAUGCAAACUCAUGAAGAGUUCAACCUGCAA